rnacentral:rRNA from 1 species
AUUGAACGCUGGCGGCAGGCUUAACACAUGCAAGUCGAGCGGAGUGAUGGUGCUUGCACUAUCACUUAGCGGCGGACGGGUGAGUAAUGCUUAGGAAUCUGCCAUUUAGUGGGGGACAACAUUCCGAAAGGAAUGCUAAUACCGCAUACGUCCUACGGGAGAAAGCAGGGGAUCUUCGGACCUUGCGCUAAAUGAUGAGCCUAAGUCGGAUUAGCUAGUUGGUGGGGUAAAGGCCUACCAAGGCGACGAUCUGUAGCGGGUCUGAGAGGAUGAUCCGCUACACUGGGACUGAGACAAGGCCCAGACUCCUACGGGAGGCAGCAGUGGGGAAUAUUGGACAAUGGGCGGAAGCCUGAUCCAGCCAUGCCGCGUGUGUGAAGAAGGCCUUUUGGUUGUAAAGCACUUUAAGCGAGGAGGAGGCUACUAGUACUAAUACUACUGGAUAGUGGACGUUACUCGCAGAAUAAGCACCGGCUAACUCUGUGCCAGCAGCCGCCGUAACAC